GAGCUCCAAAGAAAAUUGUAUUAGCUCGGUUCCAUACAAUUUAAUCACAUGACCAAAAUCAAGCCAACCGGCCAGAUAAAGUUCAAAACUAAUUAUCGUAGUAAUAAAUAGCACCCUGGAAACAUAUAUCAAACUUGAUCGUUUCAGAUGAACCAUUUGAUAAUUGUAACUGUAAUAAAUAACGAUGAAUUUGCUUUCGAGUCACGCUACAUAUUGGAGGGUCAUGGCCGCUUUCUUUGACAACAUUUUCUCAUUGUGAUUUAAGAAUGAUAAUUCUCCUGAUAUAGCGCCAAUCCAUCACCAUAACCAUUUGGUUUAACUGCUUGCCUUUGAAGCAGUGUAACAGACUAUGUAAAAAGACGUACCUCGAAUGAUGGCUAAUGCAAGUGAUGUUGGUAUUUCCCCUGUCUUACUGCAAGCCAUUGCUCAAACUAUAACAUCUCAGGCAAGUCUGUCAAAUAAAAGUCAAACAGCGAAUUCGACAGCCACAGAGCAGCAGAUUGUGUUUGUUAAUGCGGAAGAUGCUCCCGACUCCGAGGUUAAAGCACAGAGUCUUCUGUAUGGAUUGAAUCAACCUACAAAUACAAUCAAUGUUGAUACAGAAGAAGAGUUAGAUGUAAAUGAAUCAACUCAUCAGUUUGUUGUCCUUGAGGAUAUUGAAGGCAAGGAAGAGACUGUUGAGACCUUUGAAGUUGAGAAUAUUGAAGCUGCAACUCCUGUUGAAGUUGCUAAUGUUGCCAAUGAAAGCUCCCAGGAGGUCCAGCCCCAGGAUAUUCAAAUGGGAAAUGUUUUAAGUGCAAUAGCAUCAGAUAUACGAGCCAAACGAGAAAAAGAAGCCGAUCUACCCAUUCCUCAGACUGUAGAAAUUGAGAAUGCAAAUGAAGCAAUGUAUGUGGCUGUACAAGGUUCUGAUGGGUCAAUUAACCCUAUGUUAACAUCUGCAACGCUGCAAGACAUUGCAGUCUCAAAUGGUGCAGGUGAUAUCUCAGAAUCUACUAAGCCUCCAUCCCCCAAGAAGGCACGCACAGAUGAAGCUACUGGAAGUCAAAUAAUCUACAUAAGUCAGCCAAGUAAUGUUGGGGCUGAGGCUCCCAGUGUAGAUGAUCUCUCUAAAAUCAUUAAAUUUGCUCGAGGUGGUAACAUACAGAUUGUUAGUCCAUCUGGUAGUUCCAUAAACCUAUUUGAUAAAGGCCCUUGUCCAAUAUGCUCAGACAGGAGUUCAGGCUAUCACUAUGGCAUCUACAGCUGUGAGAGUUGCAAGGGGUUCUUUAAAAGAACUGUUCAGAAUAAAAAAUCAUUCCUUUGUCACAGAAAUGGAGAUUGUGACAUCAAUAUGUUAAGCAGGAAGAAAUGUCCUGCAUGCAGAUUCAAGAAAUGUCUCUUAAUGGGGAUGAAAAUAGAAGCUAUAAGAGAAGAUAGGCAACGCGGUGGUAGAAGCUCGUAUGAAGGAUGCACACCAACUAAACCUCCCCCUAUGUCAGCUUACAUCAGCACUACAAAUAAUUCCGUACCUGGUACACCCAAUGCAGUCCAAGUGGACAUUUCACAACUAGCACAAUCAGCUAUCAGCUCUAAUAACAUCUCAGUUGAGCAACAUGUAACUGUCCAAAGUAAUACUACAGCAGGGCCAAACAUAAUAGUUGAAGGUUCAGGAGAGGCUACAGGAGCGAUAACAUUGCUACCUGUACCCAACCCUGUAGUGCCUGAUAUCAUAUACAAUAUAAUGACUGUUGAAACAUGUCUAAAUGCGGAGGACCCAGAUCCAGAGCUGCAGGGGAGGUGGACACAUGAGGAUGGGGACCUGCUAUCUGGACUGUUAACUCUUGCAGACGUAGCCAUGUAUAAGAUAGUGCGUUGGGCGAGGAAUCUACCUGACUUCAUGCUCACCAGUACAGAAGAUCAGAUCAUGUUGCUCCAGAACUGCUGGGCAGAGCUGUUAUGUCUUACCCUCUGUUGGCAGUCCAAGGAGCUGCGGACCAGGACAAUACGUUUGUGUAAUGGCAAACAGCUAGAUAUGGCUCUAGCUAGGGGAAUCAACUUUGAGGAAGUCCUUAGUCGGAUGUUGGGUAUCAUGGAGCACAUUAGACGACUUAAGAUUGAUCAGCAUGAGUUUGUCUGCUUGAAAGUCUUGCUGCUUAUGUCACCAGAUGUGAAAGGUUUGAAGGAUCAGGCAGUGGUUCGAGACUACCAGGAAAAGAUCACUGAUGCUUUAAUCACAUAUACAGCAACACAUAGUCCUCAGACUCCGAACAAGUUUGGACAAAUGCUUCUCAGGUUAUCAGAAAUCUCAAAACUUUGCGCAAUUGGGAAACAAAGACUUGCUGCCCAUGAAAUUGUGAAUGAUGCUCCAGCAUCUAGUCUCUUGAUGGAAUUAUUAAAGGGAGAUAAUUUGUUAAAACAGGAUCAAGUGAAUCCUGAUCAACCUGUUGAGAGAACACCAGUUCUUCAUGAAUAAUAGAGGUCUGUUUUUAGAUGCCUCUAUGAAUAAUGGACAUCAGUUUUCAAUGCAAAAUGAAUGCCCAAAUGAAUAUGUCCAAAUAGAGAUCUAUUUCCAAAAUCAAAAUUGGAGGCCAAAAUACACCAGAUGCGAGUAGAAAUAAUCUUGAUUUAUUUCAUUAGAAAUUCAAAAUUCAGUUAAACUGAUGUCAUAACAUGUAAAAUUACAUCUAGAAAUGUGGUUUUGAAGAGUUUAUCAACUUU
rnacentral:misc_RNA from 1 species